rnacentral:rRNA from 1 species
UACGUAGGGGCCAAGCGUUGUCCGGAAUUAUUGGGCGUAAAGGGCGCGUAGGCGGCCUGAUAAGUCAGAUGUUAAAUCUACAGGCUCAACCUGUAGCCGCAUCUGAUACUGUCGGGUUAGAGAGUGGUAGAGGAAAACGGAACUUUCGGUGUAGCGGUGAAAUGCGUAGAUAUCGAAAGGAACACCAGUGGCGAAGGCGGUUUUCUGGGCCACUUCUGACGCUGAGGCGCGAAAGCCAGGGGAGCAAACGGG